rnacentral:rRNA from 1 species
AUUGAACGCUGGCGGCAGGCCUAACACAUGCAAGUCGAACGGUAACAUAAAGGAGUUUCUUUCUUUGCGGUCGCGUGGCGCAGGGGUGUGAAAUGCUUGGGACUCUCGUUUAUGGCGGGGGAUAACUCCGGAAAACUGUAGCAAAUCCCGCGUAGAUUCGGGAGAUGAAAGUUUGGGACUUUCGGGUCACAUGCCUUAGGCUGAGCCCAAGUGGGAUUAGGUAGUCGGUGAGGUAAAGGCUCACCAAGCCGACGAUCUCUAGCUGGUCUGAGAGGUUGACCGGCCACACUGGGACUGAGACACGGCCCAGACUCCUACGGGAGGCAGCAGUGGGGAAUAUUGCGCAAUGGGGGCAACCCUGACGGAGCCAUGCCGCGUGAAUGAAGAAGGCCUUCGGGUUGUAAAGUUCUUUCGGUAGCGAGGAAGGCAUUUAGUUUAAUAGACUAGGUGAUUGACGUUAACUACAGAGGAAGCACCGGCUAACUCCGUG